rnacentral:ncRNA from 1 species
GUUAGAUAAAUUUUUUAUAUUUUAAUGAAAUUUAUUAUAAAUUUAUUUUACAUAUAAAUUUUAGUGUAAAAUUUUAAUUAUUUUAAUAAUGGUUAAUUUAUAUUUAUAGUAAUUAAAAUUAAAAAUUUAAGAAAUUAAGAUUUAGUAAUAUAAAAAUUAAUAACUAAUUUUGUGCCAGCAGUUGCGGUUAAACAAAAGUUAAAUUAAAUUAUUUCAGUAUAUAAUUAAUAAUAUAAAAAUUAAAAUAAAUAUUAAAUUAUAAGGUGAAAUUUUAAUUUAAUUAAAUUUUAUAUAAAAAUUAUGAUUUAAUAAACUUUAAUAUAAACUAGGAUUAGAUACCCUAUUAUUAAAAAUUUAAUUUAAAAUACUAAAAUAGUAAAUAAUAUAUUAUUGAAACUUAAAUAAUAUGGCGGUAUUUUAGUUCAUUUAGAGGAAUCUGUCUAAUAAUUGAUAAUCCACGAAUAAAUUUACUUAAUUUAAUAUUUUGUAUAUCAUUGUUAAAAAAAUAUUUUUUAAUAAUAAUAAUAUUUAAAAAUUUAAAAUAUAAAUUAAUUCAGAUCAAGAUGCAGAUUAUAAUUAAGUUUAAGAUGGAUUACAAUAAAAUUAUUUAAAUGGAAAAAAUUUUGUAAUAUUUAAUUGAAAGUGGAUUUAAAUGUAAUUUUAAUUAAUUUAUUAAAAUGAUUUAAAAUUAAAAUAUGUACAUAUUGCCCGUCACUUUCAUUUAAAAGUUGAAAUAAGUCGUAACAAAGUAGAGGUACUGGAAAGUGUUUCUAGAAUGAA